GGUGGAUGGAAAUAGUUAUGGUUCACCUAAUUUUAUGCCCCUAAGGUCCUUGCAAAAGAAAACGGAGGGAGGAGAGAGAGGAGACAGGGGAAGGAGUCGCAUUCAAAUUCACUCUCGCCAGUCUCUAAAAUGGCAGAUUCGUUUUGAAACAACUCCAGAUUAAGCCUACAGAGGGAAAGCAUGGCUGAUGCUGCUGAGCACCUAUUACAGCUUCAGCAGCAUACCACGUUUCGGUCCACAACAGCUGUGUAAGAUUGUGACGGAGCUGGAAAUCUCCUGUUGCCUAGUGAGGUCAUGUCCUAGCGCAGAACGCAGAAUCACGAAGAGUGACGAAUGCCCGCCGUCAGCUGCUCACCGGGUUGCCUGUCAUGCAGCAACGCACAACGGAAGCACACCCUUCUCCUGUUCCCAGUGGUCAGAGCCACCCAAGUGGGGCUGUGGGCCCCCAGCACUUCUACUUCAGGAUGGAGACCCCCUGCUGCCUGGCUCCCUCCCCAGGCCCGCCAGGCUAGUCCCUCUCUCAGGCCUGCUCUCAUAGCCACGCGGGCCUUUCUGCUGCACACGCCAGCUCAGUUCGGGGCUCAGUAACCCCCUCCCAAUUCAGGGGCGUGACUCCUUCCAGAUUCUCCUUAAAUAUCACCUCCUACAAAAAGCCUUCCCCAAUCACCUCGUCUAAAUAGGGCCUCCUCAUUUUUCUACCUAAAUCUAUGGGGAGUUUGUUUGCUUAGUUGCAUGUAGCAUGAUCUUGCUUUGUGUUGCCUUUUUACAUAUUUAUUGUCUUUAUCUCAUUAGCAUAUGUGGUCCAAUAGGGUGGAGACUGUGAUUUAUCUUGUUCAUGCCUGGACUUCCAGCAGCAUUCAGAACAGAACUUCUUUCUUUUUCUUUCUUUCUUUCGAGAUGGAGUUUCGCUCUUGUUGCCCAGGCUGGAGUGCAGUGGUGCGACCUCGGCUCGCCGCAACCUCCGCCUCUUGGGUUCAAGCAUUUCUCCUACUUCAGCCUCCGGAGUAGCUGGGAUUACAGGCGCGCGCCACCAUGCCUGGCUAAUUGUAUUUUUAGUAGAGAUGGGGUUUCUCCAUGUUGGUCAGGCUGGUCUCGAACUCCCGUCCUCAAGUGAUCCGCCCACCUCGGCCUCCCAAAGUGCAGAAGAGAAUUCCAGGAAGCCUCGAGAGUGAGUGACGGCCCGCGGCCCCCCGGCGAGGAGGCAGCAAUACCACAGGCGACCACCAGAUGCCGCCGCAGUCAAGGGCAGUUGGUCUCCCCUCGCCGGGAUUAACCCUGGACCGAGGGCUCCCGAACCGCAUCGUCCCCACAGUCUGUCCUGCGAGGCGGCUUUCCCCAUUACCACCCUCGUUUCACCAAGGAGAAAACGAGCUCAGAGAGGCAGUGCAUUGGCCCGGGAUUGCAUCGGGCGCGAACCCAAGGAGAAAACGAGCUCAGAGAGGCAGUGCGUUGGCCCGGGAUUGCGCCGGGCGCGAACCCAAGGAGAAAACGAGCUCAGAGAGGCAGUGCGUUGGCCCGGGAUUGCGCCGGGCGCGAACCCAAGGAGAAAACGAGCUCAGAGAGGCAGUGCGUUGGCCCGGGAUUGGACCGGGUGCGAACCCACGUCAGCUCCCGCAGAACCUAAAUCAUUCGCUGCCACCUCCCUCCGGGCCUGCUCUCGCAGCGUUGGGUGGGGAGGAACAGAACAGCCUUGGGCGUGGCUGAGGAGAAAUCCCACAGAUGUCACUGGACGAGGGUGACGGGUGGGGCCGGGCUUUCCCCUGGGUACAGGCACAGCCGUGCUCUUCCCUCGCACAGUGACCCGCGGUGUCAUCCACAAUUCACAGCCUGUUUCCCAGAGGAGGGGCUCGGAGCGGUGUCCUCCAGGUGCCGCCAGCAACACAAGGCCCAGACUACAGAACACCAAAUACUGUGAUGAGAAAUUACUCCCCUUUUCCUUCAGGGCCAGUCCUGGCUACCCCAAGGGGAAAGUCGCAGCUUGGUGCUAAUGAAAGCUCAACUGUCCUCAGCAUUGUCAAUGGUUUUUAACAAAGAGAGAGCAGGCCCAAGCCUGGGGCAGAGCAUAGAAGCUGGGAAAGCACCAGGAUGUUUAAUGCCCACAGUCCAAAAUUGGUUGGUAGAAGUACCUACUGUCAGUCCUAACAGUAGAUUCACUUCUUACAUGUCUGCAGGUGUACCCAACAGCUCCGAAGAGACAGCGACCAUCGAGAACGGGCCAUGAUGACGAUGGCGGUUUUGUCGAAAAGAAAAGGGGGAAAUGUGGGGAAAAGCAAGAGAGAUCAGAUUGUUACUGUGUCUGUGUAGAAAGAAGUAGACAUAGGAGACUCCAUUUUGUUCUGUACUAAGAAAAAUUCUUCUGCCUUGGGAUGCUGUUAAUCUAUGACCUUACCCCCAACCCAGUGCUCUCUGAAACAGGUGCUGUGUCCACUAAGGGGUAAAUGGAUUAAGGGCGGUGCAAGAUGUGCUUUGUUAAACACAUGCUUGAAGGCAGCACGCUCCUUAAUGGUCAUCACCACUCCCUAAUCUCAAGUACCCAGGGACACAAACACCGCAGAAGGCCGGAGGGCCGCAGGGUCCUCUGCCUAGGAAAGCCAGGUAUUGUCCAGGGUUUCUCCCCAUGUGAUAGUCUGAAAUAUGGCCUCGUGGGAAGGGAAAGACCUGACCGUCCCCCAGCCCGACACCCGUAAAGGGUCUGUGCUAAGGAGGAUUAGUAAAAGAGGAAGGCAUGCCUCUUGCAGUUGAGACAAGAGGAAGGCAUCUGUCUCCUGCCUGUCCCUGGGCAAUGGAAUGUCUCGGUAUAAAACCCUAUUGUAUGCUCCAUCUACUGAGAUAGGGAAAAACCGCCUUAGGGCUGGAGGUGGGACAUGCGGGCAGCAACACUGCUUUGUAAAGCAUUGAGAUGUUUAUGUGUAUGCAUAUCUAAAAGCACAGCACUUAAUCCUUUACCUUGUCUAUGAUGCAAAGACCUUUGCUCACGUGUUUGUCUGCUGACCCUCUCCCCACAAUUGUCUUGUGACCCUGACACAUCCCCCUCUCCGAGAAACACCCAAAAAUGAUCAGUAAAUACUAAGGGAACUCAGAGGCUGGCGGGAUCCUCCAUAUGCUGAACGCUGGUUCCCCGGGUCCCCUUAUUUCUUCCUCUAUA